GUCGAAGCCAAAAGCUCUCGCCCUAGUCGACGGUGACCUUCAUAAUGUUCGACGGGGUCUGAGCCACCUAGUCGUUUCAGACUUCAAGCAGUCCUUCCCUCUCGCCAUCAACUCGUCUCCAGCGUCUCUCAGCUCAGCUCAGCUUCUCUGUCUUUGGUUCCCAAGAAGAUCAGCUCCCUUCGAUUCCUGCAAUGCUUCUCCGAUUCUGAUUACAGGAAAGCUCGCUGGUUAUCUCUGUUGUUCGUAGACUGCUACUCAAUUACAUCACUGGACCUUUGACACCCCUGAAUAGUGCAUCUUAUCCUAUAUUUUCUGAAGGAAGCCAGCCUGGUGUUAUACAAAGAGUUAGUUCUG